rfam:Hordeum vulgare subsp. vulgare, WGS project CAJW01000000 data, contig: morex_contig_1564307
GCUGGCAAAUGAUGAUCCGAUAUCCUACACACUCAAUGGAAAAUUCCAUGUGUGGACUAAUAAUCUCAUCUCAUUAUCUGAUGCCUUG